CGCCAUUUGUAAGGUGUCGAUGCUAGUGUGUUCAAUUGGGAGGAUUGUGUUGGUCUUAAAUGUGGUAAAAUGUUUUCCCUGUUUGUAGAAAGGACAUGGACAGCUUGUAGUGGACGUAUAACAAAGAGGUGUCGGAUGGCCUGGGUUGGAGCUGUGCGACGCAAAAACAUCACCUUUGGAAACAUAUCUCCGUUUAUGUAUGUCUGCUCUCGACAUUUUCAUAAAGGUCACCCUGCAUAUGAGAUGAUGGAGACUGACCCAGACUGGUCCCUCCAUCUGGGUCACACAGAAAUCUCUCGAUGUGCAACAGUGAUCGAGUACUCGACCGCGACAGCGAUGAUCGAUCACAUAAACGAUGAUUGAAAUGAUUAUUUUUUUAUUGGUUAUGGCAGCACGUUGGGCGGCGC